UUAAAACUCAAAAACAGUACAAGUUUGCAUUACCUGCUUUGUAAGAAAAUUCUCAGCAACAAAAAACUCAUCAAAUUAAGAUCCCACAUCUGUACACAGCACUGAUAGUCAUGCAGAAGUUUGCAGGGUUGAUUUCUAAUGCUUCCAUGCUUCUGACAUUCUUGACUUCUUCUUGGCCGUGUAUGUGUGUCACUGACUGUGUGCGUAACUUGUUUGUCACUGACUGUGUGUGUAACUUGUGUGUCACUGAUUAUGUGUAACUUGUGUGUCCCUAACAGGGUGAGCCUGUUGGCAAAGUACUGCAGCACUCAUCUCCACACUGUCAAAAUGAGCUUCUGCCAGAUCAGCCCAGAGGCCAUCCACAACCUCAGCAGGCAGUGCAAACGUUUGAAGCUACUGCACCUCUACGGCUGUGCCUACAUCCCUACUGAGAAGGAGAUCAGAGACAUCAACCCCACUGUUACACUCUACCCGCUGACUUGAUACACACACUAGAGCGUUGGACCAGUAACCAAAAGGUUGCUGGAUUGAAUCCCUGAGCUGACUAGGUUGAAGCCUCUGCAUCUCUACGGCUGUGCCUACAUCCCUACUGAGAAGGAGAUCAGAGACAACAACCCCACUGUUACACUCUACCCGCUGACUUGAUACAGACACACUUAUUGUUGAAAUUGGUAACACAUCUGACAAACUCCUCCACAGUUACCACGACUUUGUAAAUACAGCCUGUGUGAUAUAAAGAAUGAAGAGUGCCCACAGCACAAGUGUGUCAAGGGCCCUCCUUCCAUCACCUCCUUCAUACAGUGAUGUGGUGUCAGGCAAGCUUUAUCCAAAUUACAUCUAUCUAGUCAAGAUACAAAUAUUUUGUAGAUU